ensembl:processed_transcript
AAAAGACGCCAAUCUAAACGAAAACUGUGGUAUUAUUAAUUUUGGCCUGCCCUGCACGAACUCACUUUCUUAGUACAGAUGUGUGUUGUCAGUACAGGAAUCUGAAGGUGCGAUCAGGUGCACCUGCAGGCUGUGAUGGUCGUAAGCUAAAGCGGUGCAACUGAAUCUUAUAAGCUUCGUCUACGCCUAGAGGAUAAGUUGCGUUUAUUUCUCCGCUGAUAGAACGAACCCAGCUAUUACUCUGCCCAUACGCCAACCCAAAACCGCGUGAGAAAUAAGAUGGGCGUAGCUCGAAAUGGAUCCUGCGCGCGGACUUUGGAACAAUAACUCAUCAAUUCACAACGGGACGCUGUUUAAACGCAAGCUGCUUGAUUUUCUGCACACGUCCACACGUGGAGACCAACGACAGACUCGAUCCCAGCAGUCCUAGGAGUAGUAGCACUGGAUUGGCAGGAAUGUCGAGAACAAGUUGUGCACUUGAGCUAAUAAGGCGUCACAGCAUUCAGUCAGGCUGUUUGAAACUAAUUAUGGACAUCAGUAGUAAAGUUGAUGCGCGAUUGGCUGGAAUAGUGCGUUGUUUUCAGCGAUUUAUAUUUCUGCAAUGGCUUUUUUUCGUCUUUGCUUGUGGAUUAGAGCUUGUGGUGUAGACUGGAUCAACCCUAGUUUGGCAGAGUUCAUCACUAUAGGCUACUAAGAGUUCAUCACUGUACUUAAAGGAAAAUGAGACUGUGGGAGAAAUCAGUGAUAAAACACAACCCAAAUGACCACAGAUUAGGAGUCGGAAGACGAGCAGAGAGUGGGAGUAGCGAUAGUGGUGGAGGAGUGAACCCGGAGCAGGUGAACACAGCUGCGGACCGCCAUGGGCUCUCUUCCAUCGGUCCCGACUCUCCGUCUUCAGGUCUCUGAGAGACGGCAGGGGCCAGCCAGGGAGCGUCGGAGUGGGCAGGAGAGGCAGCUCGCUUUCCCCGCCGGCUACCGACUCCUCAGCAGCGAGGAGGGAGAGAAAUCAAUACUGAGGAGAGAUGCUGCCAGGGGUCGCCCAACGCUGCCUCCAGCCAUGGAGCCAUGGGAGCUCGUGUGUUCAGCUUUCUCUCUCUCAGCCCAUUCUCAGUCAACUAGCAUCAGCUAAAGAGAGGGCCAACAGCCUUGACGCUCUUCAUGCAACGCCGAGUGUGUGUGUAUGCGUGUGUGGUUCUGCCAGAGGGCCUUUCCAGGCUCAGCAUCACUUGAUAAAACUUUGCCUGCUGGAGAAUGAGUAGAAAAAGAAUGUCAAAGGUCUUUUUUUCCCCCGUCUUUGAUUCCUUUUUCGCCAUGAGUGCACAUUCCCCCUGACUGUUGUAAUGAGUGCUUGACGGAGAUCUCUUUUACGCUAAAUCAAGAGGCCUUCUUUUUUUAGUGGUCCUCCUCCUAAGCAUGCACAAAGUGCUCUACACCUGAUGGGCCAGGAUGAGAGAGCAGUAUGAAUCCUUUUUCACCUUUUCCACAA